GACGAACGCUGGCGGCGUGCUUAACACAUGCAAGUCGAACGGACGAGUGAGAUAAGUUUACUUAACUCACAAGUUAGUGGCGGACGGGUGAGUAACACGUGGAUAAUCUACCUGCAACACCGGGAUAACGCUGUGAAAACGGUGCUAAUACCGGAUACGUUCCCUUGUGCGCAUGUAUGAGGGAAGAAAGCUCAGGCGGUUGCAGAUGAGUCCGCGGCUGAUUAGCUAGUUGGUGAGGUAAAGGCUCACCAAGGCGAUGAUCAGUAGCCGGCCUGAGAGGGUGAACGGCCACACUGGGACUGAGACACGGCCCAGACUCCUACGGGAGGCAGCAGUGGGGAAUCUUCCGCAAUGGGCGCAAGCCUGACGGAGCAACGCCGCGUGGGUGAAGAAGGCCUCGGUGUAAGCCUGUCUAUGGAGAAGUCAGUGACGGUACCAUAGGAGGAAGCCACGGCUAACUAACGUGCCAGCAGCCGCGGUAAAGAGUAGUAA
rnacentral:rRNA from 1 species